AAUUUGCUGCUCGUAACAGUUCGAAUGACCAGAAAACCCCAAAAGAGACUUAAUUAUUAUUAUUAUUUUUGCGUUUCUUUCGGGUGAUAAUUUUUCUGAUAUUGUUAACACAUACACGCCCACACGCACGCACACCCUCCCCCCACACACACCCCCCCACACACAAUAAGCACAUUUUGGUGCAGAGUGAUUUCAAACUCCGCACUAUUGUGGGCCGCCAUUCUGGUUGCUGAACUGGUUCAUUUAAUCGCCAAUGCGGCAGAAUAAAAUCGGUUUACUAAAGAAUCUAAGUUGCUAGCAGAGGUUGUUUCAAAGUGUCUUGGGAAGAUAAAACCACUUGCAUGAUUUAAAAAAAGUAACUACUCUGCUUUCAUUCUGUGUACAUGGGCUUUUAAUUAAAAAUUAAAAAAUCUCACAGCCAAUCAAACCAGCAUUUAUGGGUGGAUCCCAUGCAUGCAUGCUGACUUGGCUGGGACCCACCCAUGCAAGGGUGCAGUUUUUUAAUGAAACUGCAUUGAAUCGUUUUGUUGUGGGCUAUAUAGGUAAUGAGUGGGCAUGGGUUUUAUCUGGGCUAACUGCAUGAGGCCCAUAUGGUUAACGUAAAAUGAGACCCAUAUUGUUGGCCCAUUUGGGCUAAAUGUAUAGCGACUAUUCAGCAUUAAUGUACAAGAGUAACCGGGAAUGGAACAGAAAUGGGAACACUAUAUGGGGCCCAUGUGGUUUCAGUAUAUUGGGCCUAAAAGCUAUUUUGUAAAUAAAAUGAAGGCAUAGUAGUUAAUAUUUUUAAAUGAUGUUUGUUUUAUCAUGUAAGUGACACUUUAAAAGGUUUUGUUCUGUCAGAAUUUGUUUCAAUCUGCAACUGUUGUGUGUUGGUCUAUAGAGUAGUCUUCAGUGGCCAAGCCUGAGUCAAAGAUUGAAAGAUGAAGAAUUUCUCUUUGAUGUUUUUGCAAUAUUUUGCUAGCACUUAUGUGAAAUGUACUUAUAUUUAAGUGUAUCUCUUGUUCUUUUAUAUGUGCAAUAUUUUAGGAUUUAUUAGUAAUAUUUAUUAGUGAUUUUCUAAACUACUCUUAAGAUUAAUACUACUAUCUUAAUCCUGUCACAGAAACAUUUUAAAUGAGGAUAUUUGCAAUAGAGAAACUGUUCAGUGUUAACAAUAUAAGGCUUCAGUGAUUAAUCUAUACAAAGGCUGUUUUGCCUUAAAUAUUGUAUUAUUAUUUUUUGGAAAAGCCCAAAUGUUAUAUGAACUGCACUAAUAAAAUAUAUACUUUUUGCAGACUUCAAGAGCAUCAACCUGUGAAGAUCACCUUUUAACAAUUUGAAAAAGGUUGCCAUGGUUACAGAAAUUGGAAGAGCGUCCUUAGAUGAUGCAAUACCACGAGCUUCCUCAUGUCAAAUGAAUUGGCAGUCAAAGUUGAACCUUUUUGGCCAACAUGGGAAACAAAAGCAUCUCUUUGAUGUUGUGUAUGGGGCACUUAAAAGAAAUGGAUCCAUCUACGGAAAAGGCACUCUCGAAGUGGUUUACUGGAGCCUGUGACAGAGGUGGAAAUAGGAAAGUUAGAACGACUAGGGAGGCUGCUAGUUCAAAUUCAGAAUAAGCACCAUCUCUGAGGCCAUCUCGUAGACCUGGUGGAGUUUGACCAUGCGUGGACUAGCUGUGGCCAGCUCAAGCACUGCAAUCUCAUGAAU